GACAGAGGGUGCAAACGUUGUUCGGAAUUACUGGGCGUAAAGCGCGUGUAGGCGGCUAAGUAAGUCGGGCGUGAAAUCCCACGGCUCAACCGUGGAAGUGCACUCGAAACUGCAUAGCUAGAGUCCUGGAGAGGAAGGUGGAAUGCUUGGUGUAGAGGUGAAAUUCGUAGAUAUCAAGCGGAACACCGGUGGCGAAGGCGGUGGUCUGGGCCUGAACUGACGCUGAGGAGCGAAAGCCAGGGGAGCAAACGGG
rnacentral:rRNA from 1 species